CUUGUCACCCAGGCUGGAGUGCAACAAUAGCAUGGUCUCGGCUCACUACAUCCUCCGCCUCCCAGGAGAAUGGCGUGAACCUGAGAGGUGGAGCUUGCAGUGAGCUGAGAUUGUGCCACUACACUCCAGCCUGGGCGACAGAGCAAGACUCCGUCUCAAAAGAGAAAAUGUUGUCUUUGCCAGGCAGUGUGGUAGGCCCAAGAGAUAUAGCAAUUAGAGUUGACUAAGACAGUGUCCCUAUCCUGUUCUUGAGCUCCAGUUCUAGUGGGAGUUCUUGAGCUUGGUAAGAUGAUGUGAGUCCAUCAGUGGCCCAGGACUCUAAGCAUGUAUGUUUUAGUCCCAGCUGUAAAUGAGGAUUCCAUUAACCCCAUCUUCUCCAAUGUAUGGAGGAUGCAAGAAGCUUUAAAAUGUCCUUUUCUCACAGUGACUUCCCUUGACCAUGCCUUAGUUUCCUCAGCCAGAAAUUGGAGACAGCAAGAGCACUUAUGCCUGAGUUGGUGAGAUGGAAUGAUGUAUCAUAUCUCUUCCCCUUUUAUUAACCAGAUCGUUUACCAGAUUGUACCUGGUGAUGCUGGCAGCCAGCCCUCUUCCGGCCCCUAUUUCUGCUUACCGUGUUACCAGAGAGCCUGGGGGUCUGGAUCCUAUCUGGCCCCGUCAGGGUGGAUUACCAAAUGAGCAGUUCUCUUGCCCCAGUCCCUUUCCUGUGCUAUAAAUAAGCCCCAUGUUUAUUUUCUUAUGUUAUUGAAAUGAGCACUUGUGAUUUGGGCCUCUUUUGAGGAGUCCAGAGAGCGUCCAUCCGGUGCCUGGUGAGGGCCCUGCAUGGCUGGCUGCUGUCUGAAGCUAUUUGGAGUCCUCUCCCUGUGUUUUCUAUGUGGCUUAAUUUCAAUAGAAAGGGUUAUAUGCAACCCUGUAUCUGCUGAUUUUCAGGUUUCAACUUUCUGCCAGCGUCACUGCCUGCUUAGAAGUAAAGUUAUGUUUCUCAUUAAGGGGAUAACAGCCACAAUUGAGGUAAUUAACGAAAAUUGUACAUUGGUGGCAGCACCUCCUAUAGGAUUUCCAAUAGUCUUUCUCUAGUAGAUCAUUGGGGGCUCACCUUGAUCUCCUCUCUUCUGUCUACCCUGCACCAAAAUACCUUGUCCUGUUUUCUGGAUAUAGUUCCAAUAAUUUUUUUCCUAACAGCCUUUUUGUCACCAGUUGGUUUGAUAUCUUACAACUUGGCCAAAUGAGGGUUCCAUUAACUCCAUCUUGUCUAAUGCAUGGAGAAUUCAAGGAUUUUUUUUUUCUCUUUUCAUAGCACCUUCCAGUUGCCAGUUGUACCCUGGCCCUUCUUUGGAAGUCAUAAUGAUGAAUAUCCAUUAAUAAGAGAUUGAUGCUCUUUCAACUCUCAUGUCAUCUAUACCAUCUCAGUGGAGAGGAUGACUUUGGAUGAGGUUGGAAUAGAAAGGAAACAUUUGGAAGUCCACUGCAGUGUAUUAUAUGCUGUGUGGAAGUCUGGGGGUUAGGAAAUACCUGGAGGGAGAACUUCCUAAGAAAUGAUUUUUGGUUCUUUUAGGCCUUAACAGCACAAUAAAAGUAUCCCAUGAGACCAUUAUGAGCAGGACACGACAUUGUUUCACACCUUGGGCUGUGACUAUUUACUUCUCGGUACAGAUUACUCUGGUUAAAUCACUCAGUAAAGAAAUCUUUUCAUGCUCACAAUCUGAACCUGAAGGCUAUUACUGAAGAGAAUUGCAUCUGACAACAAAAUUUAAUUUACUUCCAGAGAAAGGACCAGAAGAAAGUAAAUUUUCAUUUAUGUUUUUAAGUCUAUUGUCUUAAAAAGAUUCUUUUCCCUUAAAAAAUAAAAAAACCUGAUGUGAUGGGUUCCUUCAGUCAACAAAUACUUAUUGAGCAGUUAUUGUGUGCCAGAUACUGUUCUUGGUGUGAGGAUAUGGCACUGAACAAAACAAUGUACCUACUUUCGUCAAGCUUACAUUCUAAUGAGGAAGAUAACCAAAACAAGUGACUGAAUAUAAUUUCAAAUGUCAAUAAAUGCUGUGAAGAAAAUAAAGCAGAGUAUUAUAUGUGGAUAAUGACUUGGAAAUAUUUUAGGUAGGUUGAUCAGAGGUGAUAUUUAAGCACAAAUGUAAAUGUUGAGGAGUGAACCAUGAGCACACCAGGCAGAGGGAAGAGCUGGUAUAAAGACCCUCAGGCAGGAACAAG
rnacentral:lncRNA from 10 species